ensembl:scaRNA small Cajal body-specific RNA 6
GGUCUGUGAUGUCAUGUAAAAGGUCUGAAACUCAGAACCCCCCCGUCGGCCAUCUUUGCUCCCAGCAGCCCCUGCUACCAGCUCCCAUCAUGCUCUAGUGGUGCAAUGGUGGUCCCAGCAGCUGCUGACAAACAGGAUGUGACAUCACAGCGUGAGUCUGCACAGAGAGCCUGCAGACUCACUGAUGAUGUCAUUCAACAUAACCAAUCAGCUCGGAGUGUCAGACUGAGGGGGCGGGGUCUGAGUGCUGAUCUCACUCUGCUGCUGAGACC